GACGAACGCUGGCGGCGUGCUUAACACAUGCAAGUCGAACGGAGUGGCGAACGGGUGAGUAACACGUGGGUGAUCUGCCUUGCACUUCGGGAUAAGCUUGGGAAACUGGGUCUAAUACCGGAUAGUGCAAGAUGAGCUCGCGGCCUAUCAGCUUGUUGGUGGGGGAAUGGCCUACCAAGGCGUCGACGGGUAGCCGGCCUGAGAGGGUGUACGGCGACAUUGGGACUGAGAGAGGGCCCAGACUCCUACGGGAGGCAGCAGGCGGGAAUAUUGCACAAUGGGGGGAAGUGUGAUGCAGCGGCGCCGGGUUGGUGAUGAAGGCCUUGGGGUUGUAAACUCCUUUCGGCAGGGACGCGGUACCUGUAUAAGAAGCACCGGCUAACUACGUGCCAGCAGCCGCGGUAAUUC
rnacentral:rRNA from 1 species